rnacentral:rRNA from 1 species
CCUACGGGAGGCUGCAGUGGGGAAUAUUGGACAAUGGGGGGAACCCUGAUCCAGCCAUGCCGCGUGUGUGAAGACGGCCCUCGGGUUGUAAAGCACUUUCAGUGAGGAAGAACGCCUGGUGGUUAAUACCCAUCAGGAAAGACAUCACUCACAGAAGAAGCUCCGGCUAACUCCGUGCCAGCAGCCGCGGUAAUACGGAGGGUGCGAGCGUUAAUCGGAAUUACUGGGCGUAAAGCGCGCGUAGGUGGCUUGAUAAGCCGGUUGUGAAAGCCCCGGGCUCAACCUGGGAACGGCAUCCGGAACUGUCAAGCUAGAGUGCAGGAGAGGAAGGUAGAAUUCCCGGUGGAGAGGUGAAAUGCGUAGAGAUCGGGAGGAAUACCAGUGGCGAAGGCGGCCUUCUGGACUGACACUGACACUGAGGUGUGAAAGCGUGGGUAGCAAACAGGAUUAGAUACCCGAGUAGUC